rnacentral:rRNA from 1 species
UCAGGGAAGAAACGGAGUUCUCUAAUAUAGGAUUCUAAUGACGGUACCUGAAGAAUAAGCACCGGCUAACUACGUGCCAGCAGCCGCGGUAAUACGUAGGGUGCAAGCGUUAAUCGGAAUUACUGGGCGUAAAGCGUGCGCAGGCGGUUUUGUAAGUCUGAUGUGAAAUCCCCGGGCUCAACCUGGGAACUGCAUUGGAGACUGCAAGGCUAGAGUGUGUCAGAGGGGGGUAGAAUUCCACGUGUAGCAGUGAAAUGCGUAGAGAUGUGGAGGAAUACCGAUGGCGAAGGCAGCCCCCUGGGAUAACACUGACGCUCAUGCACGAAAGCGUGGGGAGCAAACAGGAUUAGAUACCCUGGUAGUCCACGCCCUAAACGAUGUCUACUAGUUGUCGGGACUUAAUUGUCUUGGUAACGCAGCUAACGCGUGAAGUAGACCGCCUGGGGAGUACGGUCGCAAGAUUAAAACUCAAAGGAAUUGACGGGGACCCGCACAAGCGGUGGAUGAUGUGGAUUAAUUCGAUGCAACGCGAAAAACCUUACCUACCCUUGACAUGGCAGGAAUCCCGAAGAGAUUUGGGAGUGCUCGCAAGAGAACCUGCACACAGGUGCUGCAUGGCUG